CUGUGCACGAUGCUUUUCAACUCUGUCUUCAGGGACUUCAGGAGCACUGCUUAAAACCGGCCUUGGUGAGGAGGGAUUUAUUUCAUUUGCUCCUGAAGUUAAAUCUCAUGAAAUCAUGUGAAAUUCAGUGAUGUGUUACUGGGAACAAAAAGGGUUACGUUAUUAAUUGUGAUGCCUUCCCACAAGAGCUGUGUCUGUACUGUGCCACAUAACCCCUGAAGCUGAAUAAAGAACUUUCUCCUUGAUUCCCCCAGCCCUCCAAAAACAUCAGGUGAGUGUGUAGCACUUUCUAUUAAAGGUCUGGGGAUAACAAGGUAAUUUAUACAGUUAUCCCACUGGUGCUGCUGCUUCAGAGCUUUCCUCAAAUUUCUAUUCCUUUCACUUUAUUAGACAGAAGAGUUAUGCUCUCCACCCUUGCAUAACCACAGACACAUCAACAGGCUGGUGUAAACAAGGGGCUAUCUAGUAUUGCUCUUUCCCUGUAGUGGUACUAGAGAGAGCCACUGAAAUCCAGGUCUUUGCUUUAGUCAGCCCCAAUUAGACUCUCCAGAGAAGGGAAUGGUAUUGAUUGACUUCUCUUGAUAUGAGUUUGUCACUCCCCAUAUAAAGCAAAGUAGCUAUAGUUCCUUUGGGUUUAAAAUAACCAUUUGAUUUAUUUCCAUUAUACUAAAUGGCCUUCAGUAUUACAGAUUUUGUUUUGCCUGCCACGGGAUCACAAGCAAAGCCUUCUCCAUACGGACAGGCUUGGAGACAGCCUCAAGACUUAAACUUUCAUUGGUCAUGUCAGCAUACUGUAAUUUACUUUGUGCCCACAUGAUACACCUAUAUUCAUAACAACCAAGCAAAAUAAGUACUAAUGUUCCCUAUUUUAUAGAUAAGGAGACUGAGGUCAGAGAAAUAACUUGCAUAAAAUUACAUGGGAAAUGGGAGCUUGGACAGAUGUGGAACCGAGAUCUGCCAGCUGGCAAGGCUGUGUGCCCUUUCCAUCAUAUCCUGGUUCUAGGAGAAAAAGACGUUAAGCUGUAUUUUCCAAAGUAUUUGAUCUCCCAACCCUGGGAAACUUUGUUUUUAAGACUUUCUCAAACAGCCUCUCAUAUUCUCCCAGCAGGUGAUGAGGUCCCAUUGUAAAUGACCCAAGGACAAACAGCUCAUGACUUCAAAGGAGGCCUCUUCAACCCAGGGCAAAUUCAGGCCUUCAUUCCAGGGGUCUGUAAGCAAGUACUGAGUGAAGAGAUAUCCUAAAAUCAAUCGGUAAAUUGCAUGUUUGAAGUAAACUAAAAACCAAAUUUCAGGGUUGAUGCUGGCUUUGGAGGAGAUGGGAAAAUCAUUUGUUUGGAGACAAGAAGCAUGUUAUGCCGGUAGAUGUGUGCACAUAUGCUUCUAUAAGUGGGUACAUGCAUUCCCACUUUUCCUGCCAAGUCUUUAGAAAACCACUUAAGUAAGAAUGGAGAAAUGUAGCAUUGUAGCUUCCCUACAGUUUGUGUUCAUUUUGUUUAUUGCAGUAAAAUAUAUAUAUAUAAAAUGCAAAAUUAAUUUCUGAGUACACAAUUGAGUGGCAUUACAUAUAUUCACAUUGUUGUGCAGCCAUCACCACUAUUUAACUUAGCAUAAUGUUUUCAAGGUUUGUGCUACUGUUUUAAUUGUUUGCCUCUUUGCAGUUCCUCUUUGCCAACCCUGGAUAAUGGCAACAACUUCUUUAGUGGCAUGCUGCAUGCUCUGUUUGGUCAUGUCCAGAGAUACCCAAGAUAAAGAAGUUUGAUAAAUAUACACAUUAACUCAGCAAAAAUAACAUGGUUAUUUUCAUGAAUAUUGCACUUGGGCACAUCAGCAAAAUUCAAAAGUGAUAAAAGGUGAGCAUUGUAUAUGAAUUUUGCAUAUGUACAUGGUAAUAUUUUGACACUAGGAACAAUAUUUUAAGUUGAAAUGUCUAUAUUUUAAUUUAGUAAAGAUUUGGCAAGCCCCUGCUAUAUUAGCAAUAUCAAGAUAAUGAGAUAAAGAUCCCACUCUCAAUAAAAAUAUAAAAUUAUACAUGUUUCUUGUGCCCAUCAUCAGCCAUCGUUAUGAACAUCACUCUGAACUGUUAUGCACAAUAAGAUAACUAGAGGGUUAAAAAUGAAGGUUUUACUGCUCACGUUGAAUAUUAUUUUUAGAAAAGAAAGUCAUUUCUAUUAUAGAGGAGGCAUUGUGGUCUACUAUAAUGGCAAGCAUAUUAAAAACAAUGCAUUCCUGGUGAAAUAAUGCUUAGAGCAUAGUCAACAAAAUAAGCAGGCUGCUGAAAAAAGUUUAAAUGUCAUAUUUCAUUAAUUCUAAGACACAUUUCCUCCUGCUUUUAGAUCUCUCAAAUUGAAAGGCAUCUUACAACCUAUAGAUGAAAUCUAGUAAAUAGAAUAAGAUAAAAAGUAUCUUAGUUUCUUUCCUUGGGUUGUUUGCCUUUCUUUUAAGGGAAGGUUUGUUUGACUGUUGUGUUUUGUUUUUAACAGCUUGUUUAUGAAUCUUCCCUUUUCUAGCGUUAAUGAUUGUGUGAGCCUAGAAUUUAAAUGGUACAAAACUCUGAUUUUUGUUUUUAUUCUUUGUUCUGACCAUUACUGAGGGGAGUACAGGACACUGAAGCAGAAACAAGGUCUGAAAGUGGCAAUGUGGACCUUGCUCCUCUGUGGAGGACUCUGGUACCUGUCUGUGUCUGAAUCUUGCCACUUCCACUUAUCUAGCUUUGCGAUCUGGAAAAGAUUAACUUUAGCCUCUCUGUGCCUCAGUUUCUUCAAGUGCUGAAUAAUGGUAUCUACCUCAUAGUGCUGCUAUGAGGGUUGAGUUUAAUAUAAGUAAGGCCUUAGAAUAAUGCCUGGCACAUACUAAAUAUUCUCUCAACUUUAGCUGUUACCAUUGUGCCUCACUUCCUUGGUGAUCUCUUUAGAUCCCUGUUUAACUACAUCCUCAUAUUGUGAAUGACUCCUAAAAUGCUAUCUUCAGCAUGGGCCUAUCCCCUGAAAUCCAGGUGUCUAUAUCCAACUGUUUACUCCAUUUGGCUAUCUAAAGUUGUCUCAAAAUUAACAGGUCUCUAAAAGAACUCAAUUUUUUUUUACCUUCAUUAAACGGUUUCUCCUCCAAUUUUCCCAAUCUGCAUAAAUGGCCCCAGAUCAUCCGUAAACCACUCUCUUUAUCUGCCACGUUCCACAGUUAAGCUAUCAGCAAAGUCUGGCAGCUAUGCCUUCAAAAUACAUCUAGAUCUGACCAUUUCUCAUGACCAUCAUAGCAUUUACCUUGAUUCAAACCAUUGACUCUUUCCUGAACAAUCGGAGUAGCUUCCUACUGAUUUCUCAGCGUCCACCUUAACUCCUAUAAUCUUUUAUCCAGAAUGAUCCCUUUACAUUAUGAACCAUCAUCAUGUUUCUCCUUUGCUCAAGACCCUCUAAUCACUUUUCAUCUCACUCAUAGUAAAAGCUUUAGUCCUAGGGAAGCCCACACAGUGGCAUCUGCCUUGGUUCCACGGUACUUCUUGCUCCUCCUCUUCCCCAACUUGACUCUGCUUCAGCCACAUUGAUUUCUAUAAAUGGCUCAUGCACCAUCCUGCUCUUGCUAUUCCUUCCACAAAUGGUCAGAAAGUUUUGCUCCUUUAUUUUCUUCAUGUCUUUUAUCAAAUAGACCUUCCUUCCCUGACUACCAUGAGGAAACAGUAUCCAUUUCCCUCCUCCCAGUCCUCUGUUUCUUACUUUAUUUUAUUUUUCUUCCUCACACUGAUCACCACCUGAUAUGUUAUCUAUUUAUCUCUCUUUCUCCUUGAGAUCAGGGACUUUUUGUUCAGGCUGUAUCCUUGGGGCCUAGAACUGUAUCUGACACAUAAUAGGGACUUAGUAAAUAUUGAAUAAAUGAAUGAAUAAAAUAACUGGUAUGUUUUGAAACAUGACUUUGUUGAGACCCUCCUUAAAGUGUCUGGAUUUCCAACUGCAAAUAGAUUUGUAGUUAUUACAUGGAUUUGUGAAAAUUUUAAGAUUGGAUUAGAAGGGCUUUUUUAAGUCAGUAGUUUUUUUUUUUUUUUUUU
rnacentral:lncRNA from 1 species